CAUAGCGACUAUCGUGGCAUAUCAAUAAGCGGAGGAAAAGAAACUAACAAGGAUUCCCUUAGUAACGGCGAGUGAAGCGGGAAGAGCUCAAAUUUGAAAUCUUCAAGGUUUUACCUUGACGAAUUGUAGUUUAAAGAAGUGUUUUCUGUUGGAGUUUUGGUAAAAGUUCUUUGGAAUAGGACAUCAUAGAGGGUGAGAAUCCCGUAUUUGACCAUUACUUUCCAGCUGUGUGAUACACUUUCAAAGAGUCGGAUUGUUUGGGAAUGCAGUCCAAAAUGGGUGGUAAAUUUCAUCUAAAGCUAAAUAUUGGCGAGAGACCGAUAGCGAACAAGUACCGUGAGGGAAAGAUGAAAAGAACUUUGAAAAGAGAGUUAAACAGUACGUGAAAUUGUCAAAAGGGAAGCGUUUGACACCAGUGUUGUUUUCUCGAAAAUCAAUUAAAAAUGAUGGGAUUUUGUGUUGUAUUGACUUUAUCAGCUUUCUGCACUUUUUUCUUAUCUUUUUUAAUGCACUUUUCGUUUAACAAGUCAACAUCAAUUUCUUUUGUUGUAAAAGAGUCAUUGGAAGGUGGCUUUUUCUUCGGAAAAAGUGUUUAUAGCCUUUGGCUUCUGCAAUCGGAGAGAUUGAGGUCUGCAGCGUAGAUCCUUCGGGGUUAGAUACAUUUGUGCUAAGCUAUAGUUCUUUAUAGACAACUUGUUGACUAUAAUCAAUCCUGUAACUUACUCGCUUAUGCUAUUUUACCUACGCUUAGGAUGUUGAUAGUCACAGCGUGUAC
rnacentral:rRNA from 1 species